CAAGCCAACUUGCCCCACCCAACUCCAGCCUUCUAAGUCAAAAGUGUUUCUAAAAUUAGUGUUUUGACGUCUAUUAGUGAGAAAAAGGGUUUGCAUUUAUGAACGUACAAUCCGAAUCAGGCUGUCGGAUGUUCCAUUUGUAAUGCGGUAGCAAAAGCCAGUGACACGAUCAUACAGAAUGAGAAACGAAUAUAUCGAGGUACAGCAUUUGUCUGAUGUUUUUGACACAAAGCUAGGGGGCUUGGCUGUUGUGGUUUAGUCACGUCCAGCGAAGGAUAGUGAGUUUAAAAAGGUAGAAGAUUGCAGAAUUUAGAAUUGCUGGGUCAGAGAUCGAGAGGAAAACGAAAGACCGCACAGUAUCUACUAUAAAUGCAUUGUAAAAGUGAUGUUGUUUUUAGUGCUGUGCCAACUUGACACUAUGUGAGCAACAUGAAUUUAACCAUCAUUGUCGUAGUACUUUCCUGGAUGACCAGACUGAUAUAGAUAUUCCAUCACCGGCAUACUGGAAAGAAGCUCCACCGUCGGAAAAAAGUUACAAAAAAAAUUGCAAGAGUGGUUACAAAAAAGUAGAGUGGUUGAAUGAUUCAGGUAUGGAAAAGAAGCAAGCUGACGCAAUUUCUACUGGCAACCAGAAUAAAAUGUUGAAACUAAGCCUGGAAAUUUUAUUGUUGAUGAGAGGAAGAUUUAGUAUAAACGUCCCUCAGGCAAAGUAGAAAUCUCUUACGUACAUCUCAUUGAUUAUGUGACUUUCUAUUAAAAUCGUUUUGUUAUUGGACAAUUCAAUUUUAUUAUGUUAUUCAUGUAUAUGAGUGCAUGGUGAUGGCUGAAAAAAUCCAUUUCCAUUUGGUAAAA